rnacentral:lncRNA from 1 species
GGGAAGAAGGUCAGGCUGUUUGGGUGAGUUAGAGCUGGCAAGAGGAAGGGUGUUCCUAGAUGAGUAGGUCAAGGGGCCCUGGCCCUUUAGCUGGUUUCACUCUUCAUGUUCCUCCAGGAGCAGAGGCAACAGUAACUACACAGGGACUGGCCCUUCCGGCUACUCCCAGCACAGGAAAGACCCCAAACCUGUGCUCUAGCCGCUCUGAGCCUGGGGUAAACUGAGAGCCAGAGGACAAUCUCUGUGAAGUAGAAGGUGGUCUCUGUGUUGUUUUUGAGCCUUGCUGGAGCGGUGUUUGACAGGAGGUGUUUGAGAAAGGAUCGUUCCCACUAGAAGCAAUGCUGGGUAGACAGACAUUCGGCAGCUUUCUGGUUCUGAGCCUGUGUAGCUAAGAUCCCUCUCUAGGAGUUUCUGUCAACCUUGCCCUGGACUGGAAAGUGGCUAAAAUACACCGUCAAAAUAACCUCAACAUCUCUCCUGAGAUACUGGUCCCAAUGACAUGGAGGGACCAGGGCCAGCCCUAGAGUGUAUCAUCUCGCCCUGGUGUGUAAUAAAUGGCUAACCAUGGAGAGCCAUGGUGACUGAAAUGACAACCAA